rnacentral:rRNA from 1 species
GAGAAUGCCGGAAUGAGUAGCGAGAAUUAUGUGAGAAUCAUAAUGGUCGAAAAUCUAAGGUUUCUUGAGGAAGGUUCGUCCGCUCAAGGUAAGCCGGGAGCUAAGGCGAGGCCGAGAGGCGUAGUCGAUGCACAUACGGUAAAAAUUCCGUAGCCACCGAAGUCGUUAAAUACAGGGACACAGGAACAUAGCCCAUCCCCACCGUUGGUUGAGUGGGGCGUAAGGGAGCGAAAAUUAGUAGCGAAGUGGGUGAUUGUACACUGGCGAGAAAAGCUGUAUGAAUUGACAAGGUGCCCGUACCGCAAACCGACACAGGUAGAUGAGGAGAGAAUCCUAAGACCAGCGGGAGAAGUGUUGUUAAGGAACUCGGCAAAAUGACCCCGUAACUUCGGGAUAAGGGGAGCCUACGAGAGUAGGCCGCAGAGAAUAGUCUCAAGCGACUGUUUAGCAAAAACACAGGUCUAUGCUAAAUCGAAAGAUGAUGUAUAUGGGCUGACGCCUGCCCGGUGCUGGAAGGUUAAGGGGAAGUGUUAGAGCAAUCGAAGCACUGAACUUAAGCCCCAGUAAACGGCGGCCGUAACUAUAACGGUCCUAAGGUAGCGAAAUUCCUUGUCAGGUAAGUUCUGACCCGCACGAAUGGCGUAACGACUUGAGAGCUGUCUCAACAACAUACCCGGCGAAAUUGAAGUACUGGUAAAGAUGCCAGUUACCCGUGAUAAGACGGAAAGACCCCAUGGAGCUUUACUGUAACUUGAUAUUGAAUUUUUGUAUUACAUGUACAGGAUAGGUGGGAGACAGAGAACUAAUGCCGCCAGGUGUUAGGGAGUCGAUGUUGGGAUACCACUCUUGUAAUAUGAAGGUUCUAACCUGCACCCGUGAAUCCGGGUGGGGGACACUGUCAGGUGGACAGUUUGACUGGGGCGGUCGCCUCCUAAAAGGUAACGGAGGCGUUCAAAGGUUGGUUCAGCACGGACGGAAAUCGUGCAACGAGUGCAAACGCAUAAACCAGCCUAACUGCGAGACCGACAAGUCGAGCAGUAACGAAAGUUGGAGUUAGUGAUCCGGCGGUAUGAGAGUGGAAUUGCCGUCGCUCAACGGAUAAAAGCUACCCUGGGGAUAACAGGCUGAUCUCCCCCAAGAGUCCACAUCGACGGGGAGGUUUGGCACCUCGAUGUCGGCUCAUCGCAUCCUGGAGCUGAAGUCGGUUCCAAGGGUUGGGCUGUUCGCCCAUUAAAGCGGUACGCGAGCUGGGUUCAGAACGUCGCGAGACAGUUCGGUCCCUAUCUAUCACGGGCGUAGGAAAUUUGAGGAGAGCUGACCUUAGUACGAGAGGACCGGGUUGGACGUACCGCUGGUGCACCUGUUGUUCUGCCAAGGGCAUAGCAGGGUAGCUAAGUACGGACGGGAUAAACGCUGAAGGCAUCUAAGCGUGAAGCCCCCUUCGAGAUAAGAUUUCCCAUAGCGUAGGCUAGUAAGGACCCAUGAAGACUACAUGGUUGAUAGGCCGGAGGUGGAAGUGCAGUAAUGUAUGUAGCUGACCGGUACUAAUAGUCCGAGGGCUUGACCAA